rnacentral:misc_RNA from 1 species
UCCAAGAAACAACAUCUUUAUGAAUUAUUUCAUCAAAAAUGUUUUUGGCUGCUAAAAUAUCACUACAUUUUGCGUACAUAUCCACGAGAGCAUUACUGAUGAACAAGCAGGAUUCAUAACCAAGUGCUAUGACAAGGCCAUGAACCUGUUUUCCAAACUCCAGUACAGCUAUAUUAGCACAAGCACCAACAACGCUAGAAAGGACUAACGGGUCUACUAUAUCAACCCCUUCUCUUCUCAUUUCAAUAAAUAAGUAAGAACCAUCAAUCCCAUGUCCACUCUGAACUAGCCCUGAUAUUAAUGCAGUCCAAGAAUAUAAAUUCCUCAAUGGCGCCCUUGAAAACAAAUCCAUAGCCUCUGUUUUUAACCCACUCCUGGCAUAGCCAGAUAUCAUUGCAGUCCAAGAAACCGGGUUUUCUUUCAAAAUAGAAUCAAAAACAACACGAGCAAUGUUGGGUAAUCCACAUUUUGCAUACAUAUCAACAAGUGCUGUCCCAACAAAUACGUCAAAAUCUAAUGAUUUCUUCUUGAUAUAUUCAUGAAUCCAUUUCCCUUGACCAAGAGCCCCGGAUUGAGCACAAGCCAUCAAUGCGGUAGUAACACAAAACUCAUCUGGCUCGACCCCUAUAACAAACAUAUACCGAAACACCCUCAAAGCUUCACUCGCCAAAUUGCAACGAGCAUACCCAUUCAUAAGCACAUUCCAUUGAACGACAUCUGGAUAAGGAAUUUCAUCAAACGUCUUGUGCGCAUCAUCCAUGACUUUACACCCAGCAUACAACCUAACAACCGCAGUUUGAAUAUGGCCGUCUGCUAAUAUCAUUCCAUUUUUACAUACCCAACAGUGCAUUUGCCUACCCAAAAGGAUCCAACCCGCAUUUGCACAUGCGAAGAGAACAAAGUGAAAUGUAUGGUUUUGAGGCGUCACAUUCUCAUCUCUCUACAUUAUUUUGAUAUCAUGUUGAGAGAUGAGAAUGUGACGCCU